GCUGGGAGUGCCGAAAGGUGGCCUUGUGGGUAAGUCCUUCCAGCUGCAUCCAGGUAAUCCCGGCCUUCGAGCGGGAGAGAUGAUACCCCCCGAGGGCCGGGCCUGGUCCGGCUCAGGAUGCGUGCCCUGUGAAAAUGCUCAGCAGCCCUCGCCUUUAGGAGUGCUCAGAUUAAGAAAUACAAUCUUAAAAAGCUGAAGCUGGAAUGUGAACCAGUAUUUCCAACUUUAAGCUGAAAUCAUCUGAAUUUAAAGAACACAUCGUGGUGAAUGGGCUUUGCUGUCCCCCUCUCCUUCCAAAGACCUCUUCUGUAAGAGAUGAAAACACUGCAGGACUUCUGUGUCAGGGCGUUUCCAGAGUGGGGAGGAAGAGCACAUGAAUGAACUGGAAGUUUUCUUCUUUGAGAAACAGAUGCCCAGUUUGAACCAUCAUAUUCAUCUCUUCAAGGACAGCCCCUUUGCCCUGAGUUCCACAUUUUAACAUUGUGCUUUGCGAUCCAUUGAGAGUUAAUUGGCACCUUCAAUAAUAGUGCAUCUUACAAUCGAUGGCAUGUUAGACGCUAUGAAACAUGGUACCUCAAGCAGCUCAGCAAAUUCAUUAGCUCAUGGAACCACAGAAAGGAGCAGGGGCCACAGCACCCAAGAACUGGGAGUCCGUUUUUUCUCCCAGUCUCCUUCUCUGUCUUCCUCCUCUCACCCUCCCUAGCCCACUUCCCACUUCUCUCUUCUCUACACCCUCUUUCCCUCUCACUGUGUUAUCUGUGUGUUAUCUUGGCUUCAUCCCAUCGGGUCAGCUCACCCCACGAAGCUGGAUGCGUGGCCCAUGCAACUCCAGCCUGUGUGUGGUCUCACAGCGCUGAGACAAGAGAGGAAAAGACAGCUCUUUCCGCCAACUCCAGUAAGAAAAAAUCUCAGCAAAGG
rnacentral:lncRNA from 10 species